CUCAGUCAACAUUCUCUCCCGAAGCUAUGUCCUCUCUAUACAAAAAAAUAGAUUUAGGGUUUGUCGGUGGUUGACUCCGGUGCGUCUCACAGCAUCGGAGUCGAAUUUCGUUGUUCUGUUGUUGCCUUGUUGGGUGCUUUUGUUGCUCUCUGAAGAUGUGGUGAAGAUUCGACUUGGUUGAUGGGUGUGAAGGUCCUGUCCUAGAGGAGCGUGGUGGCGCGUGAAGUUCGAUUUCAGAGUCCGGUUUGAUUCUUAGAUAUGUUUGUCUUGUCGCUGGCCUUGUGAUUGCGGAGUAUGUGUCAUCUGCUUCUUCUGGUUGUGCGUUUCUUUCCUAUAUUGAGUCUCAGAUUCUCCCUCAUCUUCGUAGUGGAUUUUUGUUAGGGUUUUAUUUAGUUUGUGGUUUCUUUGCUAGUCUGUUGAGAUUUAUCUCUACUAAUCUGUCAUGGAAUUUAGAAAUUGGCUUAGUUUGUCUUUGUUCUAGAAACGGUGUAGCAGAACAGUAUUGGUGUAUAGAGAGCAGUUGAAGGUUUUUCAAGAAGAAGUGUUGAUGUCAGGUAACCAUUCCAUCUCCCAGUUUCUGAAGAGUCUUCCUCCUGUCCUUUGAAUAAGUGUGUUUUUUGGUUUGGCAUUGGUUUCUGGUUUUCUUCGGUGGCUUCUUUGAGGUGAGGCUUUGAGGCAUCCAGUUGAAGGUGUGGUUGAGUAGUGAGUUCUCCUGUGAUUUGGUUCUUCAUGGUUUUCGUCUUGGUUUCAUCUUAGAGGGUGUUUGUGGUCAUCGAGUUCAGAUAAAAGAUCUUUCUCUUCAUCGUAUCAUGCUCUCUUGCUUUGUGUCUCGCAAGACUUCCGCCUACUCGUAAGACAAUUAAGUCUAGUUUUUUUUACGUCUUGAUAGGUCAUGGUUUAGUUGAAGGAUUCAGUUUGUAGCUUGAUGUUUCAGUUGGUCGUUAUGGUCUGUUUCUUGGGCAGUCGUUUCCCUCUUCUUGACUUGGUUUCCAAAGAAGUUCAUGUGUUCCACCGACAUUAGCAUUCCACCCAUAUAUUUAACAAGUCAUUACAGGUCUGGAGUUCUAUAUGAGUGAAGUAAGAUCAUUUGGAGCAAAAAAUUCAGAAAGAACCCGAAUUGAAGAUUUUCACGAGCGGAACAACCUUGCAGGCUGCUCUCGAGCGUGCGGAGCAUCCGAGUGCAUGAUCCCGCAUGAGAGAUUUUUAUGGAAACUUAUAAUAUUUUGAGAUUUGCCCUAAUCAUCCCAAUUUUCUCUCUAAGACGUCAGGAACCUUGACAUAUAUUAUCUUCCUCUUUUCUAUUAUUUUCUACGCUAGUUUUUGAGAAGAAACCAGACCCUAAAGUUCUAUUGUUACGAUUUCAUACCUUGUAAAAGGAGAAGGAUCUCGACAUUCUUGAGAAGAUUCAUGAACCCUAUCUUAUUUGUUUAUUGAUUCAGCAUGUUUUCUU